AUACAGAAGUAGCAAGGGCAAGAGGAACAAGAGAGGUUCAAAGGCACCAAGUGCAGAGGCAGUGGGUGGGGAGACCCAGGCAUGGAAGCCAGUGUUUCACUGUGAAUACUUGGAAAGUCCCUGGCUGGCUCCAAACAGUAGAAUAUGGCUGGAUUCUAGAGUCUGUUGUCAGAAUAAUGAGAAUUAAUACGGAAGCUCAUUUUCAGACUUAUCAUUAGUUAUGAGAUGAUGGAGGGUUAAGGAAACCACAGUAAGAGGAAGAGAUUCUAAGGCUAGCUUCUUAGGACCCCACCCCAUCCCUAAAUUUUCAGAUGGGAGAGAGAGGAGUGUUAUGCAUCUCUGUAUCAUUCUUUUUUGGAGCUGAGAGAGACAGAAAGGAGAG
rnacentral:lncRNA from 1 species